rnacentral:rRNA from 2 species
UAUUUGAAGAGUUUGAUCAUGGCUCAGAUUGAACGCUGGCGGCAGACCUCAUACAUGCAAGUCGAACGAGAAAGUAUCUUCGGAUACGAGUAAAGUGGCGGACGGGUGAGUAAUACAUAGGAAUCUACCCAAUGGAGGGGGAUAGCUCGAGGAAACUCGAAUUAAUACCGCAUAAUCUCUAUGGAGCAAAGGGGGGCUUCGGCUCCUGCCAAUGGAUGAGCCUAUGCAAGAUUAGCUUGUUGGUAAGGUAAUGGCUUACCAAGGCAACGAUCUUUAGCUGGUUUGAGAGGAUGACCAGCCACAUCGGGACUGAGACACGGCCCGGACUUCUACGGAAGGCAGCAGUAGGGAAUAUUGGACAAUGAGCGAAAGCUUGAUCCAGCUAUGCCGC